rnacentral:rRNA from 1 species
CGAGUGGCGGACGGGUGAGUAAUGUCUGGGAAACUGCCUGAUGAGGGGGAUAACUACUGGAAACGGUAGCUAAUACCGCAUAACGUCGCAAGACCAAANAGGGGGACCUUCGGGCCUCUUGCCAUCGGAUGUGCCCAGAUGGGAUUAGCUUGUUGGUGGGGUAACGGCUCACCAAGGCGACGAUCCCUAGCUGGUCUGAGAGGAUGACCAGCCACACUGGAACUGAGACACGGUCCAGACUCCUACGGGAGGCAGCAUG